UACGGAGGGGGCUAGCGUUGUUCGGAUUUACUGGGCGUAAAGCGCACGUAGGCGGCGUAUCAAGUCAGAGGUGAAAGGCCUGGGCUCAACCUAGGAACGGCCUUUGAUACUGGUAUGCUUGAGUUCGGAAGAGGGUAGUGGAAUUCCAAGUGUAGGAGGUAGAAAUUCGUAUGGAAAUUUG
rnacentral:rRNA from 1 species